rnacentral:rRNA from 1 species
UUACUACUUAGUGGCGAAAGGGUUAUUAAUACAUGUGUAACGUACCUCUUACCUGGGAAUAACGGUCGAAAACACCGCUAAUACCGAAUGAGGAGAGCUGAGGGUAGCCUGGUUUCAUCAAAGUAGGGGAUUCAGCAAAGAACCUUGCGGUAGGGGAGCGGCUCAUGGGAUAUCAGCUUGUUGGUGUGGUAAGGCCCACCAAGGCUAAGACGUCUAGGCGGGCU